rnacentral:rRNA from 1 species
UACAGAGGGUGCAAGCGUUAAUCGGAUUUACUGGGCGUAAAGCGUGCGUAGGCGGUUCAUUAAGUCGGUUGUGAAAUCCCUGGGCUUAACCUGGGAACUGCAGUCGAUACUGGUGGACUAGAGUACGGUAGAGGGUGGCGGAACUCCGGGUGUAGCGGUGAAAUGCGUAGAUAUCCGGAAGAACACCGAUGGCGAAGGCAACCACCUGGGCCUGUACUGACGCUGAGGUACGAAAGCGUGGGGAGCAACAGG